rnacentral:rRNA from 1 species
CUCUUAUAGAUUUUAUAGAAUUUGGUUUUUAGGUGAAGAAACCUAAAUAUAAUUAAAAGACAAGAAGACCCUAUCGAGCUUAAAAUAAUUUUUUUGGUAUAACGAUAACACCUUACUCAAAAAAAGAUUUUAGUUGGGGCGACUAAGGAACAAGAAAAGCUUCCUAUAAGCUAUACUUACUAAUAAGUAUUGAUCCAAAAAAUUUGAUUAACAGAAUUAGUUACCGUAGGGAUAACAGCAUAAUCUUUUCUAAGAGUCCUUAUCGAAGAAAAGGUUUGUGACCUCGAUGUUGGACUAGGGUGCCCAGAUAGGUGCAGAAGCCUUCAAUGGUUGGUCUGUUCGACCA